ensembl:lncRNA uncharacterized LOC114467102
AGUUAAUGAUGACGUAGCGGAUGUGGUGGUCAUGUGCAGCGGAAGGAAAAGCACUCCAGUCUUUGCAUUUUGAAAUACUUUCCAUUCGUCAUUGCGUAACUUUAACUUCAGUCAUGACAGCAAUCAGGAGAUGUUCCACCCUUCAUUAGUAACUAAGCUGUCAUGGAUUUAAGUAACAAACUGGAAAUCUACAUCCCCAAGAAUGCAGAGGUAAAAUGUGUCCCAUUACAGAGCUUGCCAAAAAAUGUACUCAGACAGAUAUGCCAUCACAUAUCUGGCUCUGAGGCCUUUGGGACACUUGCAGACCCUUCACAGGGCACAUGGAUUUGUCCAGUAAUCCUUCGAAAUAAAGGCCAAACCUUGACACCCUGUACAGGAACCAGUGAAAUGAAGAACGUUUCAUCAAUGCUAGGCAACCACAUUCGAAACAAGCCUGGGCUCCUUCAUAUGGCUUUUGUUUCCUCUAACCCUGAAGCCUACCAUGUGCUAAAGAACAUCAUGCAUGGAAGAUGCAGCUCAUCUAAUUCCCAAAUACCUGAGGGCUCUCCGAAGGGAUACCAAAAUGCUGUAAUCAUCUACAGAGAGUGUGUUUUCCUGUCCGUCAAGAAUCAAAACCAAGACCACUGUCAACAGGCCACCAAAAAAUCAAAGCCAAGCCAUCAGUCCGUCUGUCCUGCUGUCUCAGCUGUGUCAUCUAGCAACCAGUCACAGGAAUUGCAAACCAAAGGGAAAAAGGCCAAGAGAAAAGUAAAACACUUGGAAAACAAACAGGAUGUGACAUAUCAGGAUGGAGAGGACAACGUAUCAUCAGCCAAGGUUGGACAUCAUGUUCAUCAGUUUGCAGGUGGAGUGGACAGAGUCAACAGUGAGCAACAGGCCAAAGCUUCAGAAGAGCAGAUUGUAGUGGAAAAUCCUGCCACUCCAGCUCACUGUCAGCUCCAUGUGCAGGAGGAUAGAAUUCAUUUUGACAGUAGUGACUUCAACUUGCUGGAUGAAGGCAGUGAAGUUGCUGAAAACAUGGACCUUAAGGAAAGCAGCUCAGUGAUCUGCCAUGACCAGAGUAGAGGUAGGAGGGAGUCCCUGUGCGCAGACGUUUCCUUCAAGUUACAACAGUCAGAAUUUGACUUCAAUGCAUUGGCACAAGAGGAGAAAAUUGCUGAAAUGAAGGCUAGGCUUCAACAGAGUCAAGCUGCACUAAAAAGCCUAACUUCGUCAAAGUGACAGCUGUUAAAAUUGUUCGUCAUUCUUUACAAAUGCUUGACUAAAUAUUCUACAGAAAAGUCUCCUGCGUAGUAAUUCAGGCUUUACUUUUUCAUUUAUACAUGUGAUUUCUGUACGUGCAUUUUAGUGAGCAAUUAUUUGGAUUAAUCAGUUAUUUACAAUGAACACAUUUGUGAAGUUUUGCAAAUGAAUUAAGUUUAUUUGAUGUAAAUUAUUAUGCAAGCAUUUGUUUGUAUUGGCUUUUGUGACUUAAAACCUUGCAACCCAAUUUUCUUUUAUCACAUCAACAUUAUACUGGAUUCUACUUAUAGGAAAAGUUCUACAUUAAUGUGUAUCAAUCCAAUUUGUGAAAAUGAAAUUAACUAUAGCAAAAUAUACAUUGUUACACUUAAGAUAAAAUCAGUUUGAGUACUUUAUUUAGUUUACAAGAAGGGUCUUCAGUUGAUGGAGACUCAUUGUUGCAAUUCUGAACUUAAAGAAUUAGUGUUUGUGAAUAAAAUGAACUGACUCUAGUUACA